rnacentral:rRNA from 1 species
GCAUGUGCACGCCUUGUCAUCUUUAUAUCUCCACCUGUGCACUUUUUGUAGACCUUUCAGGUCUAUGUUGCUUCAUUUACCCCAUUGUAUGUUAAUAGAAUGUUUUGACUAUAUAAUAUAUACAACUUUCAGCAACGGAUCUCUUGGCUCUCGCAUCGAUGAAGAACGCAGCGAAAUGCGAUAAGUAAUGUGAAUUGCAGAAUUCAGUGAAUCAUCGAAUCUUUGAACGCACCUUGCGCUCCUUGGUAUUCCGAGGAGCAUGCCUGUUUGAGUGUCAUUAAUAUAUAUAUCAACCCUCUCUUUGUUGAGUGGUUUGGAUGUGGGGGUUUGCUGGCCUCUUAAAUGGUUCAGCUCCCCUGAAAUGCAUUAGCAGAACAACCCUGUUCAUUGGUGUGAUAACUAUCUACGCUAUUGAAUGUGAAGGGAAGUUCAGCCUUCUAACUGUCU